rnacentral:rRNA from 1 species
UACGUAGGGGGCAAGCGUUGUCCGGAAUCAUUGGGCGUAAAGAGCGUGUAGGCGGCCUAGUAAGUCCGCUGUGAAAGUCCAGGGCUCAACCCUGGAAUGCCGGUGGAAACUGUCAGGCUCGAGUCCGGAAGAGGCGAGUGGAAUUCCUGGUGUAGCGGUGAAAUGCGCAGAUAUCAGGAGGAACACCAAUGGCGAAGGCAGCUCGCUGGGACGGUACUGACGCUGAGACGCGAAAGCGUGGGGAGCAAACAGG